GGKSWRGGCCMGGGMACGGUAUGYGAAAGAACCUUACCAUCCUUUGACAUGGCAGGCUAACCAGAGAGAUUUGGUGUUCCCUUCGGGGACCUGCACACAGGUGCUGCAUGGCUGUCGUCAGCUCGUGUCGUGAGAUGUUGGGUUAAGUCCCGCAACGAGCGCAACCCACGUCCUUAGUUGCCAUCAUUCAGUUGGGCACUCUAGGGAGACUGCCGGUGAUAAGCCGCGAGGAAGGUGUGGAUGACGUCAAGUCCUCAUGGCCCUUACGGGAUGGGCUACACACGUGCUACAAUGGCGGUGACAGUGGGAGGCGAAGGAGCGAUCUGGAG
rnacentral:rRNA from 1 species